GAGUGUAUAGCUCAGUGGUAGAGUGUGUGCUUAGCAUGCAUGAGGUCCUGGGUUCAAUCCCCAGUACCACCA
rnacentral:tRNA from 1 species